AAGAGUAAUAGGCAAACCUUCUGAAAAGUGGGGGCGCAAAACUAUGGGUCUAAAGACUUGCGCGUCUAUGACUGCCAGGUUGCAUCA
rnacentral:ncRNA from 1 species